AUGGCGGGCAGGCGCGUUCUGGUCCGCUGCGUCCUCUCGGCCCUGCCCACCUUCGCUCUUAUAGCGCUUCGAGUCCCAACGAAGCUGCUGAAGGAAAUUGACAAGUGCAGGCGGCGUUUUCUCUGGGGAAAGCAUCAAGAACUCUCGGGCGGCAACUACAAGGUUAGCUGGGAACGGGUCUGCUCCCCGUUUGAGCACGGCGGACUCGGUGUCCUGAACCUAUCAAAGUUCAGCCGCGCGCUUCGGCUGAGAUGGCUAUGGCACAUUUGGAAAAACCCCACUCGGCCUUGGGUUGUUACUGUCGACAACGACAAAACAGCGAGCUUCAGGCACUGCUCAUGGCUAGGGCCGGUGCCGCUGAAGUUCUGCUUCCCGUCUGUCUUCAAGCACUCCAGGCGCAAGGGCAGAACUAUGGUGCAAGCCCUCAGCGGCGACCGCUGGGUUUUGGACCUAGCGCAUGGCAACAACGUCGACCUUGUUAGUGAGGUUAUCUCCCUGCGUCGACUCAUUCAGCGCCGGAAACUCAACCUUCAGGUAGAAGAGCAGGACCAAAUACGCUGGAGCUCGUAG
rnacentral:rRNA from 1 species